rfam:Byssochlamys spectabilis No. 5 DNA, contig: PVAR5_00012_1.
GCCCGCAUAACUCAGUGGUAGAGUGUUUCACUCGUAAUGAAGAAGUCGACGGUUCGAUCCCGUCUGUGGGCA